rnacentral:rRNA from 1 species
UACGUAGGAGACGAGCGUUGUCCGGAGUUACUGGGCGUAAAGGGUGCGCAGGUGGCGGCGCGCGUGGGGGGUGAAAUCGCCCGGCUUAACUGGGCGGGGGCCUUCCAGACGGCGUGGCUUGAGCAGCGGAGGGGGACGUGGAAUUCCGGGUGGAGCGGUGAAAUGCGUAGAGAUCCGGAGGAACACCGACGGCGCAGGCAGCGUCCUGGCCGCUGACUUGCAGACACUGAGGCACGAAAGCUGGGGGAGCAAACAGG